rnacentral:rRNA from 1 species
UCCUACGGGGGGCAGCAGUGGGGGAUAUUGCACAAUGGGGGAAACCCUGAUGCAGCAACGCCGCGUGAGUGAAGAAGUAUUUCGGUAUGUAAAGCUCUAUCAGCAGGGAAGAAGAUGACGGUACCUGACUAAGAAGCCCCGGCUAACUACGUGCCAGCAGCCGCGGUAAUACGUAGGGGGCAAGCGUUAUCCGGAUUUACUGGGUGUAAAGGGAGCGUAGACGGCGAUGCAAGUCUGAAGUGAAAGGCGGGGGCCCAACCCCCGGACUGCUUUGGAAACUGUAUGGCUGGAGUGCAGGAGGGGCA